rnacentral:lncRNA from 1 species
GGAUUCUAGUAGUUUUUGCCUGCUUUUGCUUUUAAUGUCUGGUGAGUUGGUCUUGUUUUAAUAUGAACUUAUUAUCUAUCCUCCUUGUAUUGAAUUCACUUUGAUCUUUGUCUCUAGGUCAAGUAACGAGGUUUAUACUGAGAGGUCUAUGGAGAUUGAAAAGAUCCUGAAGGAGCUCAGCUAAGGAUUGGUUUGGCGCUUACAAUGAUGUAUGACGCUAGCCUUGGGAUGUAGGUGUUUGUUAAUUGUUUUUAUUCAUACUUGGUUGUGGUCAUUACGGAGAUGCUUACUCUAAUUUAUAUACCUAUCCUCCUGGUAUUGAAUUCACUUUGAUCUUUGUCUCUAGGUCAAGUAACGAGGUUUAUACUGAGAGGUCUAUGGAGAUUGAAAAGAUCCUGAAGGAGCUCAGCUAAUGAUUGCUUUGGCGCUUACAAUGAUGUAUGGCGCUAGCCUUAUUGGGAUGUAGGCGUUUGUUAAUUGUUUUUAUGCAUACUUGGUUGUGGUCAUUACGGAGAUGCUUACAUCAUAUAUCCUACUAGUUAAAACUCAUUCAUCGUUGAUUGUGUGAUGCCCUUUUUGAAAGGUAUACUAUACACUGUCACUAAGAAGUUAAAAACUCAUACUGAUAUGUUUGUUGUUGAUCAGUGUUUUACUGCUAUGAAAUUGCUGGCUAAUGCUUGACAAAGUUAACUAUC